GCCCCUAGUGGCGGAAUGGUAGACGCAGUUGACUCAAAAUCAACCGAUGAAAAUCAUGCUGGUUCAAGUCCGGCUAGGGGUA
rnacentral:tRNA from 1 species